CGUUCGCUCGUUUUCCUCUUUUCGCGGGCUUACAAACUAAAUGCUUUCUCGUCCAAUCAGCAAACAACACAGAAUUCAACUGGCUGCUUUGGCAAAACUCAACAACUGGUUUGUCUGAAAUACGAGGAACUCAGCUGAGUAAAUUAAACUUAAAGAUUCCAUAAAAGCUUUUGGAAGAGAGUUUAAGACGAGCUAGUAAAGAAAGUAAAAGGGACCAAAUUAAGAAUUUAAAAGUCGCCAAGUUUAUGAAAUGAAAAUGGUCUGUUGUUUUUACUGUCUUCCAAAUCGG